CUCCCAGUAAAGUUUGGUGAAAGGUGUUC
rnacentral:piRNA from 1 species